UUUGCAUAUGAACGGUCAAACACUGGGGAAAGAAUUGAAAUAAUCCUCACACAAGUGAACUUUUUGAAUCACAAAUUUCCAUUCUAGGUAAAACUUCAACCAUAGCAAAGCGAAGCUGCCUUUGCCUUCUCCUUCAACAUUCAUUCAUUCGGGAUCGAACAAAGAAUCUCCCACUCUGCCUCUGCCUUCAAUUCAUAGCACAACACACGCAGAGAUUGAUUCCAAUCGUUUCUUUUCUCUUGCAUCCGCUGGAGGAAAAUCAAAAUCUCCAAUUCAUAGUCAGAAUGUGCACACACAAACUUGUGUAUAUUAGAAAGAAAUCCAUUAAUACGGCACCGUUUUUAUUACUAUAAGAAUAGUUAUGUGGAGAAGGAAGAAGAUGAAGCUGUGCUUCACCUUGUUGUUCUUCUCUUGUUAGAAUUCAUGGCUUCCUCUUCUCAGCAUCGCUGCGUUUUUGUUGGGAAUAUACCAUAUGAUGCUACUGAGGAACAGCUUAUGGAUAUCUGCAGAGAGGUUGGGCCUGUAGUGUCUUUCAGGUUAGUCAUUGAUAGAGAAACCGGAAAACCAAAGGGUUAUGGCUUCUGUGAAUAUAAGGAUGAAGAAACAGCUCUGAGUGCUCGUCGUAAUCUUCAGGGUUAUCAGAUCAAUGGCAGGCAAUUACGGGUUGAUUUUGCUGAAAAUGACAAAAAUGCUGACAGAAAUCGAGAGCAGGGUCGUGGGGGACCUGGACUAGCUGCAAGUGUUGACCCUCAGAAACAAGUAGGGGGCCCAGCAAUCCUCGGGGAAUCUGCACAGCAUCAGCCAAUUGGUCUCCAUAUAGCCAUAACUGCUGCAACUGUCAUGGCAGGAGCUUUAGGUGGUGCUCAGACAGGCAUGCUGGCCAAUCAAAAUGGUUUGCAGAGUCAGUCAGCAUUAGCCAGUGAUCCUUUAACUCUUCAUUUGGCCAAAAUGUCAAGGAGUCAAUUGAAUGAUAUCAUGUCGGAGCUGAAGGUCAUGGCAACGCAAAACAGGGAACUAGCUCGCCAGCUACUGCUUGCGAGACCACAGUUGCCAAAAGCUCUUUUUCAGGCACAGAUAAUGCUGGGAAUGGUGACCCCCCAAGUGGUUGAUUUUGAUAACUCAAAAGAAUAAUUUAUUUUGGUGUUAUUUCUUAGCAAUUAUGCCACCUGAGAAAUGCUUAUGGAUUGUGCAGUUGCAGACGCCAAAUAUUCGGCAGCCUCCAGGUCAAUCUGCACUUCAUUCCUUACAAAACACUCAGCAGGGUAAGCAGUCAGCAAUUCAAACUCUUACUGGGUUACCCCCCCUUGCACAGAGAACACACUCUGGCUUGGUGUCCAAACUGCAAGAGGGCCAAUUCUCUGCUAUGCCUCAAAACUCUUUGCUACAAAACCAAUUUUCUGCACUCCCACAAUCCAUGCAGCCUCGAACUCUGAUUCCACAACAUGCCAAUAGCAAUGUUCCUCAACAAGCCACAUUACCAGGCCAGUCUGGAGUUCCACCACUUCCUCCUGUACACCUCUCUGUUAGACCACAAAUUCAGGUGGCAAGUUUCUCUUCUUUAAACCAACAAGUACCACCUUCAUUGCUACAACACUCUGGACAACAGGUUGGAACUGCAAAUUUUGGGCAUACCUCUCAGUUGGUUCUUUCAAAUGCAUCAAUACAAUCAUCUGUUGUAUCUCGUCCUUCCCCAUCCAAUGCUGCAUUCCAGGUACCAUAAUUUGCUGGCACUCUUAUUAUCCACUGCAGAAAAAGGAAGGAUCAGAUGUGAAUGCUUUGGUAGCAAGUAACUUCCCCCUCCUCUUCCUUCCCUCCAUCCCUCCCAGGGUCUGCUUUUGUAUGAUGAAAAUGCUCCUGGUUGCAUACCAACCUUGGAUUAGGAACAGAUAAAAGAAAGAAGCGGGUACAUGAGUUAUACUGAAUUCCCAGUAAUGGCUCAUGCCAAAUCAUUUUGCUUAAGCAUUUUAUGUGGAAGUAUUCCCAAAUUGGGAAGUAAUCAUUUUCUAUUUCACAAAAAAGCAAGGUCAUUCUCUCUUGUAUACUCGUGUAUGUAGGCUGCAACUGAUUGCUUUUUUUUAGUGGUGAAUAUUUGCUACUUAAGUGUAGAGAAACACUUGCACUCUGUUUGCAGGGGGGGAAUGGAUGGAAGGAAAAUAAAGGAUAGAAAAUAAAAGGGGAAAGGUAUUGUACAUGGGAUAAUGAAGAGAAAGUUGACAGAAAUAAAAUAUAAAGAAAUUUUACAACAAAAAUCUCUUGAGAGAGUGCAGGUGAAAAUGAUGGAAAAUUCUCAUUUACUCUUAUUAAAAUUUUUUGCAUAUGGAAAAAUGAACGAUAUAAUUUCGCUUUCGUCAACUUUCUCUCCACAUUCAUUCCCUUCAUUUUUCUCCCAUACAAACAAAAGAAGUAAAAAAAUUUUCUUCUCAAGAACUCUUUCUUAACCCAUCUUUAUUACCAAACAGAUGACUAGUGAAUUUUGAUUAGUAUAUGUAUGAUAGAUGUGAACUUUGCUUUAAAUUUUGGUCACAAUUAUUUCUAUUGGUUUCUAAUGUACUUCAUAAUAACAGGCUGGCCCCCCAAUAUCAUCAGACAUUUCAGAUGCAGUUGGAAAUGGUACUGAUAGAUCUAUCCAUGCUCCUGAUGAUAUAGCUCUGGUCUGCAGAAGUAAUGCUUAUUUGAACACACAAAUAAAUGUGGUUAACGAUUCUAAAGAACCAAUUAAUCACCCUUCAAAGCUGCUAAAAUUGAAUGAUGGAAGGAGCAUGUCUAUCUCAUCGGGGGCUUUGUGUGUGCCCAAUUCCACUGUAUCUGGACCAUCCCAAGCAUUUACAGUCAGUUCAGUGCCUUCAAAUCCACUUCCUAAUCCAGAAGAGCUGCAACAAUCUGAAAAACAAGUUUCUCAAUCUCAGCUUCAUCCAGAUGUGGAGUCUGCAUUAUUGCAGCAAGUGCUGAACCUCACACCAGAGCAGUUGAAUUUAUUGCCACCAGAACAGCGACAAGAAGUUAUUCAGCUCCAACAAGCACUUAGGAGAGAUCAGACACAACCAUCAUAGCAGGCACGGGGUAACACAGAAACUCUCUGAUGCAUUCGUUGUUCAUCAUUGCAGGAUCCUUCCUUGGUGGAAGAAAAAUGCAUGCUAUUGAUUCAUCUAAUCCUCAAAGCGUGUAAAAUGAUAGUUCACAUGAUGUCCAGUUCUAAAAUGUGAAAUGCACAAGCAUUAUGCCAUCCAUGUAACAUUGAUUAGCUUGUGAUUAGCAUACCUGAAAGAAUAAUUUAUUAGAAAAGAAAAGAAAUUUUACAGCAUUUUUUUUAGCUAUUGGAGUUCCAUUUUUCACAUAAUAUAUUUUGAACAUUUUAUCCCUUCCAAGGACUGGCUUUGCCAGCUGAUGUCUCUGCUUCACCUAUUUGACAGUACUUUACGAAUGAGCGUGACUAUGGUUGCCCUUUGGUUAAUUAAUAUAAUCACCUUCAUUUGAG
rnacentral:misc_RNA from 1 species